rnacentral:rRNA from 1 species
GAUGAACGCUGGCGGCGUGCCUAAUACAUGCAAGUCGAGCGAACGGACGAGAAGCUUGCUUCUCUGAUGUUAGCGGCGGACGUGUGAGUAACACGUGGAUAACCUACCUAUAAGACUGGGAUAACUUCGGGAAACCGGAGCUAAUACCGGAUAAUAUUUUGAACCGCAUGGUUGAAAAGUGAAAGACGGUCUUGCUGUCACUUAUAGAUGGAUCCGCGCUGCAUUAGCUAGUUGGUACGGUAACGGCUUACCAAGGCAACGAUGCAUAGCCGACCGGAGAGGGCGAUCGGCCACACUGGAAGUGAGACACGGUCCAGAGUCCUACGGGAGGCAGCAAUAGGGAAUCUGCCGCAAUGGGCGAAAGCCUGACGGAGCAACGCCGCGUGAGUGAUGAGGGUCUUCGGAUCGUAAAACUCUGUUAUUAGGGAAGAACAUAUGUGUAAGUAACUGUGCACAUCUUGACGGUACCUAAUCAGAAGACCACGGCUAACUACGUG